UUAAAACCUUGGCCAAAGAAACCGACAUUUCCGGAUGUCUGACGGGGAAGGGGAAAAUCGGUUGCCCUUUAUUCUCCCGGAAGGAAGAUGGGCAGUGGAGAGGAGGAGGAGACAAGGUUAUGGAAAAGUACCAUCACAACCUCGAGCGUGCGUGCCAUCUGUUUUCUCAGAUGGAUGUGUUUCCAUCCCAGGCUCCCAAACAGCACAGAUGAAUCAGUCGAUAGUCUUUCAAUCAGUGGUAGUUAUUGAGCCUUUAUUGUGUUAGUAAACAGUUGGGAGAUUGAGCCCUUACCCAGUGAGGAGCACUGUUCCGCCGAGCAGGGUGAGGAUUUAAAUGUUUCUCUUUUGUUGAAUCUUACCGUCCGGGCAGAGAGGGGAAAAAAAUGUAACAUUGCCCUCUAAAAGUGGGGUUAGGCGAUGCUCUGUAACUGGAUCGGGGCAUAGUCCGCACACUUGGCCUGGCCUAGAAAUAGGCUGCAGGGUGGAGGGGUAAACAGAUCUCAACAGCCAAGGAAUGAUAGGCUGCCAACCCCCGGGGACUUUGGAGGAGAGAGGGGGAGCCUAAGCAGACCUCCCUAUUAUGGUAUUUAUUAAGCGCUUUACUAUCCAGCCCCGAACUAGCCUUCUCCUGCAAAAAUAUGUGUCCUGCCUACUCCCGAGAAGUGAACUUUGUCUCCCCUCCCUCCUGUCCAGCUCCCCCAUGUCCUUCCUAAACACAUUCCUCCCCACCAGAAAAAGACCCCCAAAAACCUUCACUCUUAACCUGGCUAGGGGAUAGGUAAUGACUGUUUGGCGGGCAUGAAAAGCUACCCUCUAUUUCUCUGAACAAUCCCUUUUUUUUUUCCUACAAAAGAUGUCCGAGGAGUGCCUGCCUGCCUGCUGAACAAGAAAUCACUUCCUGCACCGCCAGCGAGUUGCUGAGGUUCUCUGAAAAGGAAGACCUGCAUUUGUUUAUGUGGGGUCAGUGAUUUUCAAAAUUUCCACCCAAACUACAAAUGCAUGGCAUAUUUAGAGCGAACUAUUGGAAACAUUUCUUCCCCAUAAGCUGCCAGUGACAUAUUGACCUGGGGAGAUCCAUGGCUUGACAAAGGAGCUGGAGAUUGCUGUGGGGUAAUCUAGAGAAGACAAAAGCUACAUUUAGUGCACUGGAAUGCAGUGAAAUAUGAAAGUUUUGAAGAUGCUGCAUUGGAGGAAAAUGGCUUGGCUGUGAUUGGAGUAUUUUUGAAGAUCCAAACGCUCCUGCUUUGCACUGAGCCUUAUCCCAGGAGAACAUCCCAGCUGUCGGGCAAAUCGUGA